rnacentral:rRNA from 1 species
CCCCUAGAUGUUCUGGGCCGCACGCGUGCUACACUGAACAGUUCAACAAGUCUUAACCUUGGCCGAUAGGUCUGGGUAAUCUUUGAACGCUGUUCGUGAUUGGGAUAGACCUUUGCAAUUAUGGGUCUUCAACGAGGAAUUCCUAGUAAACGCAAGUCAUCAGCUUGCAUUGAUUACGUCCCUGCCCUUUGUACACACCGCCCGUCGCACCUACCGAUUGAAUGGUCCGGUGAAAUCUCGGGACGGCGGCUUGGUCGCUUGCGUCCGACUGCUGAAACUUGAUUAAACCAUAUCAUUUAGAGGAAGGUGAANUCGUANCA